rnacentral:rRNA from 1 species
CCUACGGGAGGCAGCAGUGAGGAAUAUUGGUCAAUGGGCGAGAGCCUGAACCAGCCAAGUAGCGUGAAGGAUGACUGCCCUAUGGGUUGUAAACUUCUUUUAUAUAGGAAUAAAGUGAUGCACGUGUGCCUUUUUGUAUGUACCAUAUGAAUAAGGAUCGGCUAACUCCGUGCCAGCAGCCGCGGUAAUACGGAGGGUCCGAGCGUUAUUCGGAUUUAAUGGGCUUAAAGGGGGCGUAGGUGGGUUCGUAAGUCAGGUGUGAAAGUUUAGGGCUCAACCGGAAGAUUGCAAUUGAUACUGGCAGCCUUGAGUACGGUUGGGGGAGACGGAAUUCGUGGUGUAGCAGUGAAAUGCUUAGAUAUCGCGAAGAACUCCGAUUGCGAAGGCAGCCUACUGGACUGCCACUGACGUUGAUGCUCGAAAGUGUGGGUAUCGAACGGGAUUAGAUACCCCUGUAGUC